GUGCUCACUUAGGCAAUACAUAUACAAGGAUUGGAAUGAUACAGAGUAGAUUAAUAAUGGCUCCUGCACAAAGAUGACAUGCAAACUUGUGAAACAGUCCAUAGUUUU
ensembl:snRNA U6 U6 spliceosomal RNA